ensembl:lncRNA
GAAGAAGAAAUGAAUUGACACUGACUAAAGAGAAGAAGAAAUGAAUUGACACUGACUAAAGAGAAGAAGAAAUGAAUUGACACUGACUAAAGAGAAGAAGAAAUGAAUUGACACUGACUAAAGAGAAGAAGAAAUGAAUUGACACUGACGAAAGAGAAGAAGAAAUGAAUUGACACUGACGAAAGAGAAGAAAUGAAUUGACACUGACUAAAGAGAAGAAGAAAUGAAUUGACACUGACUAAAGAGAAGAAGAAAUGAAUUGACACUGACUAAAGAGAAGAAGAAAUGAAUUGGGACUGGAAUUUAUUGAAAUACUAAUUAAAGGUUAAACAUAUUAAAUGUUAAAGGUUGAAAACGUUGGGAGAUAUUAAAGGUGUUAAAAUAAUGCAGGUGAGGAGAGUUAUAAUGUAGUUUUCUUUAAGUUGUGAAUCAUAUAGACUGUGUUUCAUUCUGCUUAGAGGACAAGGCCUUAGGAGGUUGAUAACGAGACGUUAUAAUGGUCAAAUGUUAUAAUGUUUAAAAUAUUGAAUUAUUAAGAUAUAACUGGAGUAAUAAAUUAGGUUGUAUUAAGAUUAGAAUUGAGUAAAGAUGGUUUGAAAAAUGUAUGUUUUAAGAAGUUGAUGUUAAUGAAGUAUAUUAAAAGGUGCUAGCUUGAUCUGGAAAUCCCUUGAGGUGACCUCAUUGACAGACAUGUUCUAGAACAUUCUAGGUGGAACCCUUAAGGUUACCUCAUUGAUAGAAGUGUUCUAGAACAUUCUAGGUGGAAUCCUUAAGGUUACCUCAUUGAUAGAAGUGUUCUAGAACAUUCUAGGUGGAAUCCUUAAGGUUACCUCAUUGGUAGAAGUGUUCUAGUAGCUGUUAGUUUUUUAGACACCAACUGAGGGACUGAGCAUCCCGAGGGGGGAGACAAAAAUCUGUUUAUAAUUUGUAGAAGGUAAGAACAUGUUUUUCUUGUUGUUAAAUACAGCUUCUCAUGAAAUUGUUAUAGUUUUUAGGUAAAGGGUUUAGGUAAAGGGAUUAGGUAAAGGGUUUAGGUAAAGGGUUUAGGUAAAGGGUUUAGGUAAAGGGAUUAGGUAAAGGGUUUAGGUAAAGGGUUUAGGUAAAGGGUUUAGGUAAAGGGUUUAGGUAAAGGGUUUAGGUAAAGACGCUGAAGGCAUCUCUCAAUUUAAUCCAAGGUACAUUUUUGCGUAUCAUCAAUUGGUGAUAUUGAUUGAUCCGUUUUUUAUGCCUUUUUUUCUGUCAUUUUGAAUAAACUUGCUUUAUUGUUCUGAAA